CAAUGCUCUGCCAACUGAGCUACGCGGUCAGGUCGGUUCGAGUAUGUGAGAUACUGUAGUAGAUUACAUUGGUAUCGAAGGAACUGGAUCUGACAGCGUAGUUCAGUUGGUAGAGCAUUGGG